UCCCGCGUGGUCUAGCGUUGAGGAUUCCCGGCUUUCACCCAGGCGGCCCGGGUUUGACUCCCGGCGCGGGAG
rfam:Clonorchis sinensis DNA, contig: CSINDRAFTv2.0_contig_4038.